GAAGUCUUCACGCCCUCGGGCGGGGUGAGACUGAAGCCGAGUUGCUUCACCCUGCCCAGAAAUAGCGGAAGCGCCGGGACAGGGUGACAGCCGCGGCGGAAUUCCUCAGUCGGGGGGAACCGCUGCGAAGCGAACGCGCUGUGUUCGCAGCAUCGCUGUCCCCUCGUAUUUCGGGAGCCAUCUACUGGGAACUGUCAAUAGUUACAUCUGGCUGCAAACCCCGCGACGAGCACUGCUACUCCGAGGAGGACACGGAUUCAGACUCCAGCAGCAGGCUCUGAAGCUACUCAGAUUCUAUUCACGAGCUCUGGGGAUACUCACACUCCAGUGGAUUUUGUGUGGAGGGAUGUCCAGCACACCUGACAUUGACUGUCCCGGGGGGGAAGCACAGCCCCAUCUGCCAUGGAUGGAUCCAAGGCAGUGGGACAGGGUGAAGCUCAGAACACCUGCACUACGUCCAUGUCAUUGUGUGGGGCAAUAGAGCAGAAGGUUUUGAGAAAGGGAAGAAAAUAGUCUAACUUGUUCUGAAUGACAGUUUUGCCGUAAAACAAAGUAAAAGUCAAGGGAGCUGCACAGGAAAUGCAGCUUUAGGGAAUACAGCGGUGAGAAGGGUCUUGCCACAUCCCAAUGGAUGUGAUCAUAAAACAAUGGCAAUGUCUCCACCAAAUAACAAGAAAGAAAUGGAAGCUUUCUUAGGCUCUGCAGGUUUCUGGAGAAUGCACAUUCCAAACUGCAGUCCAAUUGUCAGCCCUCUCAAGUGUCCAGGAAGAAAGAUUUCAACUGGGGCCUGGAGCAACAAGCCUUUGGACAAGUCAAGCAAGAGACAUUCAUGCUGUAGCGCUUGAGCUAGUCUGAACAGGGCAAGAUGUAAAGAAUGUGCUUUACACUACAGACAGGGGAGACAGUCCUACCUGGAUCUUCUGGCAGAAAGUACCAGAGGAGACCCAAGACUGAUCCAUAUGGAGUCACAUUGACUCCAGAGGACUGAAAGCCCACUGUUCUGUAACUGAUAAAGAGUUACUGGCAGCUUAUGAAGGUGUUCAAGCAGCUUUGGAAGUGGUUGGUACUGAGGCACAGCUCCUCCUGGCACCCUGGUUACUCACGCUGCAUUGGAUGUUUGAAGGAAAGGUCCUCACAUCAUGCAACUGAUGGUGGCACAGUUAUGUUGGAAGGAGAACUGGUUUCAGCAUACAGCAAUCCAACACCACGUGCCAUCUUUCCUGCCCUGAAAAACUGUUAUGAAAGAUGAGGGCUGGAGUAAUGGAUUGCAUGAAUCCAGUGGACUUUUGUAAGGAUGGCCUAUAGACUUACAGAAUGGUAUAUGUGUGUAUAUCCAUCAAAAGAUGGAAAAGGCGAUGGGGUAUUUGGAAGUGUGGGCCCUGGCAUAACACAAGUGGUAUGGAAUAUGAGUUGGAUACUGUUCUGGUUUCAGCUGGGACAGAUAUGAUUUUCUUUUUCAAUGCAGUGCUGGAAUUUUGGAUUCAGUAUGAGAAUAAUGAUAACACACUGAUGUUUUGGCUGUUGCUCAGUAGUGCUUACCCUGAGAGACUUUAAGUUUCAUGCUCUGCCAGUGAGGAGCUGCACCAGAAGCCAUGAGAGAGUAUGGCCAGGACAGAUGACCCAAACUAGCCAAAGGGAUUUUCCUUUCUUAGAAGUCAUGCCCAGUAUAUUAACUGGAAGGGGAUGAUUGCUGCUCAGGUCUGGGCUGGGCACUGGUCAUCAGAUGCUGAACAAUGGUAUAGUCAUUACUUGUCCUUUCUUGGUUUUUUUUUCCCUCUCUCCCAUACUAGUAGACGUAUCAUUAAUUUAUUAUCAUUAGUAUUAUUAUAUUUUACUUUGUUCCAAUUAUUAAAGUGUUCUUAUCUCAACCCAUGAGUUUUCUGUUCUGAUGCUCCUCCUCAGCCCACUGGGUGGGAGUGAGCAGCUGCAUGGUCAUGUCCUGUUUGGGGUUAAACCAUGUCACCAGCCAGAGGAGCAAACAGUUUGCUUUUCUUCCCUAAAAGAUGCCGGUGUGUUACUUUGUUUUGCUUCUUGUGGAAAACCAUGGUCUUGCUCUAGUUCAUGAGAUCUCCCCUACAGUUCUGCUCUAUAAAUCUCCUUGCCAGUGCAGGCUUCAGCUUUGGCUUAUGUUUUCUGAACAAAAUUAACUGCCAUUCAAUUAAAAAUUAAUAUAUAUUCAUGCAAAUGUGUACCUCUGCUGCUCAUGGGUGCUACUAGAAUCAGUCUGGCAACAGCUCUUUAGAAAUAUUGAUUUAGGGUAUUUUUAGGAUAUUUUUUGAUGUGCCAAACUUUUUUUAUUUGAAAAUGUAAGAAAGUUAAAAAAUUAAACAUGAAAAAUGUUAACACUACAAAAUAAAAUCUAAAGCAGAAACAUGAACCUGAAGACAUGAUGAUGCCUCAGAAUAUGUCCUUCUUUAUAUUUGCUUUGUUUUCUGCUUAGUUGAAGAGAAGAUAUGUAUGGAAGCUAUUGGGAACUGGCAGAUUGAUCUGAUCCAACAGAUCACUGGUCACUGGUCAUUUCAAUAUGAGUUUUCUUGUCAGGAAACAAAUUAAAAAAAUAAAUUAGUAUUAUUUCCAUUUUGAAGAGGCUAUCAGAGAUCAUUUAGUUACGCUGAUGAAACUGUAUCUAGGUAAGAAAGCUUUAGGAAUAAUUGGCUUCUUGAAUUUACAAUAGCAACUUGUCACCAGUCAUUUAUCAGACUGACUAAAAGUAGAGAAUUUGAGCAAGUUAAUGAUUUCUGUAGCACUAAUCUAUACAUAUAUGAGUAUUAUGCUGCUAAGCUUUAAAGAAAACUAUUUGGGAUUUAGACCUCAAAAUAGAAUCACAUUCCAAGACAAAACUGCCUGUUUGAUUGAGUUCUGUACACCAAUUAUUCUCAUAAAGAGGAAAGAUAAAAUGGGAAGAACUUUUUUUUUUUGUGACAAGCUCUGAAUACAAGCUUAACAUUGUAUUUUUAAAUUUUGAUGUGAGUUAUUUCUUUCUGCUCUUUCACUGCUUGAGAAGGAUACCUGAAAAUACAGAGAGACUAAAGGAAGAAAAAGAUAAUAAAGGCAGUGUCCUCUAAAGUUUGUUUAAUGCCACUUAUCUCAGUUUGUAAUGAGAUACUCUGCUUCAAACCUUUUUUUUUGACUGAGGUAAUCCCAGCUACAACAGCACCACUAGCAAAUCCAUGGUCUUUUAAAUGUAGCUGGGGCCCUCACUGUCCUGUCAAUGGAUGGGGAAUAAAUAAAAAUUCACCUUUCAAAUGAAUGCCCAGAGAAGGCACUUCAGUAGCUAAAUCUGUUGGUAAAAACACAGUUUACACAAAGUCUUAGGGAACAACAGAAUUUAUCUCUUCUAUUCCUGCAUCUUUAAUUAAGAGAUUUGUUUAUUUUUACCUGAAUUUACCUGAAUACCACUGAACUUGGGUUGCUUCAUUAUACCAGGCAGAUCUGGUUCUUGUCACACACAUCUAGGGAGACUCUUAAUUCUGGGGACUUGUGUGGACACUCCCACCUUCACAUCUAACAUAUCACUGAAAUUUUGAGUUAGGUGAUGUAAAUGAAUUAUGGUACAACUUCCUUGGUUUUGCUCAAUGACAUCUGUGCAGAAUGGAGAAAAUGUUUUAUAUUCCAACUAGCAAACUGCUUCUGUAUCUAUGAAACAGUUUGUGCCCCAACUUUGAGACAGCUGUCUAAGCAACCAAUCAUUAUUAGGUUUUUAUACAGAAAACCCCUUACUUUCAGUCUUUACUACGGUACAUUUGGGCUGUAAUUAUUUCAUUCUUUUGCUCUAACAAGCAAAAACUCUUACCACUAAAAAAGGCUGGACCUCCUUUUGCUCAGAAAAGUAAGACUACCUAUUGCAGAGGGUGCUGUUAGGAUGACAAGACCAGGAGUAAACAAAAAGCAGUCGAGUCUCAGCAAAACGUAACUGGAUUGUGUAAUGCACAUGGCCAACAGCUCAGCCCACGUCACUGCAGUCAGUAUGGAAUUCACUUGGCAUGGCAGGAUGGUCCUUAAGGGCAUCAAUCAGUGAAUGUACCAGCACGUUCCUCUUCAUGUGCAAGGGUGAACAUAGUGUCUCGUUUCCCACCCAGCUGUGGCCAGAUGCAGACCUCCAACUUGCUCUGCUAAUACCACAGGAUCCAUGGAUGCACAGCUUGCUUUGGGAAAACCCAACAGUGAUGUGCUGUCGUUCAGAAAAGGGUGUGUGGGGAAAAGGGAAUCAACCCAAUUACCUGUCACUGGCUUUCAAUUUUUAUCCUCAGCCUGCAGCCAGGCUUUAAUUCCCCAGUGCCAGGCACAAGAUUCUAAAUGAGACAUGACCACAAAGGUGAAAUGCUGUUUUUCUGAGACAGUGCCAGAAUGAGCAGGCUGAGGAUUUGAAUAUGCAGACCUGGUUUUCUGUUCCAAAUCCUAGAACCUCUCUCUGUUUUAAUAUGAUACCCAUAAAAACCUUUCAAGACUGUGAGACAAAAUAAACCCCAGAGCAUGUCUAUAUAAAGGCAUUCAGCAAGAAGCGCUGAAAUUUAUUCAAAUUAAUUACAGUAGAGACCUCUGACUUUGAACUUCUAAUUCACGACAGCAGUAAAAAAGGAAAUGGUGAAAUGGGUUGUAUUAAAGUGCAAUGAUGUGGAAAAACCAUUGAAAUAACACAAAUGAGGCUGCAGUGAGAAAUGAAACAACAGUCUCAUCCAAGCAAUGACAGCAAUAUAUAAGUAAAUUAUGUUACAGAUAAUUUACAAAAUAACUUACAUAGAUGAAGAUAAGCUGAAUCUCAUGUUACUAUUCCAUUGUUAAAUAUCAGACUAAAUAUUCCUGGUCAGCACAGUAUUGUAUGGAAUAAUAAAAAAAGAUCAGAGGAUUUCCAUGUUGAAAAAGAUGCCUGAAGUAAAAUCCUGAUCAGCAUUUAUAUUGCAGUACUGCAAGAAAACUAAGUAUUCAUGAAUUGUAAAGUGACACAUUCAGCAGCAUGAAGACUAUAAAUACAUCUUUUACAUUGAUACAUCAUAUCUACACACAUAUACAUAUCUACACACAGAGAUACAUACACACAAGCACAUACAUGCACACGUGUAUGUGCAUAAAUAUACGUGUGUGUAUAUACAUGCCUCAAUUUGUGCUGACCGUGGUCAGCUGCAUUUUGAUUGCAUCUGGGGUAGGGUUGCUUCUGCAUCAUUCUUAGGAGUGUUUGUCAUCUAAGUUUUCUAAUCCGCAGCCUCUAAACCACAAAAUUCUGGGAUGGUAUAAAGACAGAAUUCAAGGCUCAGCCAUCAGUGAGUCUGAUGAUUAACAGCAGUUCCCACUGGCGUAUCUGCUGUGCUUAGUGCUUCUGAAAAGUUAUGCUCUUCAUGUCCCCAUUAUUUUUAAAUAAUGUGGUGUAUGAACCAGUUAAAAACCUCUUUUCAUAUAAGCAAAAAUAUUUGAGAGAUGGACAGGAAUGAAUACAGUAUUCUAUACAUGUACUUAGUUUUGCACUGUUUGUAAGGAUGGUGUGCAAAGAAUGUCCGACAAAGUGAAAAUUUACAACAUUGGCUUACAUCAUACCCUGAAAACGGCAAAUUUAGCAUCACUCUUUCUUUAAAAAAAUUAAAAUACUUAUCUGUAGUAUAAAUCUGACUCUUCUCUGUGAUUUUUUU